GGACUUGGGAAUGUUUUGAAAUAACAGGAACAACAUCACCCUAGGUUUGUCUUUUCAAGCCAGAUAUUCAGGCGUGGAUGCUAAGAAUUCUCACAUGGGCAAGUAUUAAUGUUUGAAUGCAGCCCUGAUUGAGGUGGAGGUGGAGACAAAAGGCGUGCCUCCCUAGAACAUGUUUCGUCCCCACUGCCGGAGGGAAUAUUCUGUGGCAGCUACCGCACGCACCCUUUCCCUCCACGUGAGUGGACUCCACACUCUAAGCAAGGCAUUCGGGACUGCAAACUCAGCUUCUGCUUCUCUCCAGCCCUGUGGCCUCGCUGGGCAAUUUUUCUAAUCUCUUUGGAGCUGAUCUUCAUGUUGAAAAAGGACAAGUCCCAUCUUCAGAUCAACACCUGUCCCAGCGCUGCCAUUCUGCCAAGGGUCCUCCUUGGAGUGUCUGUAAGACACUUUUGCCACGAAGUGACCCAGCCACCAGCCUCAGUGGAGCCUCCGAGCCUAAUUCUGGAGGAGACUUUAACUCGUUGUUUUGGAGAAUCAUGUAGUGACAGAUGAAGAUGAACCUGCUUUGAAACGCCAGCGACUAGAAAUCAAUUGCCAGGAUCCGUCUAUAAAGUCAUUCCUGUAUUCCAUCAACCAGACAAUCUGCUUGCGGUUGGAUAGCAUUGAAGCCAAACUGCAAGCCCUGGAGGCUACUUGUAAAUCUUUAGAAGAAAAGCUGGAUCUGGUCACGAACAAGCAGCACAGCCCCAUCCAGGUUCCCAUGGUGGCCGGCUCCCCUCUCGGGGCAACCCAGACGUGCAACAAA
rnacentral:sRNA from 1 species